rnacentral:tRNA from 1 species
AGGGACGUGGCUUAGUUUGGAAAAGUUCCCGGUUCGGGUCCGGGAGAUCGGGGGUUCAAAGUUAUUACGGCUGUGCGCCGUGUUAUGAAAAUCCCUCCGUCCCUA